AUUGAACGCUGGCGGCAUGCCUUACACAUGCAAGUCGAACGGCAGCACGGGAGCAAUCCUGGUGGCGAGUGGCGAACGGGUGAGUAAUAUAUCGGAACGUGCCCGGUCGUGGGGGAUAACGUAGCGAAAGCUACGCUAAUACCGCAUACGAUCUACGGAUGAAAGCGGGGGAUCGCAAGACCUCGCGCGAUUGGAGCGGCCGAUAUCAGAUUAGGUAGUUGGUGAGGUAAAGGCUCACCAAGCCGACGAUCUGUAGCUGGUCUGAGAGGACGACCAGCCACACUGGGACUGAGACACGGCCCAGACUCCUACGGGAGGCAGCAGUGGGGAAUUUUGGACAAUGGGCGCAAGCCUGAUCCAGCAAUGCCGCGUGCAGGAUGAAG
rnacentral:rRNA from 1 species